AUGUUGGGAUUAUUAUUAUUAAAAGUGCUUUUUUUAUUAACUGGAAAAACGUGUCUUCUCUCUUUCUGUCCAAGAAGCUCUCUAAGGCAUGAGGCUGCACAAGAGAAAGAUCUCAGCUGGCAGGAUGGGAUUCAAGAGAAGGAAGCAGCUGCAUCCUUAUUGGAGGAAACUGAUUCCAUUCUCCAUCAAGGGUCAUCAAUGGGACUGAAGGACUCCUCUAGGUAAGUCAGGCUGUUUUCUUCUUGUUUUCUCUUUUUCUGCACAGAGAAAUGGAAACUUAUCCUUUAUCUCCUUUAUCAUUGAGACCACCCCACUAUUCAUGCCUUUAUGGGUCUUGGAUGUGUACUGGUGCCUCUGGUGGCCUCCAGAGAUAGCCAGAAAACAAUGCAAGUACAAUUUGAGUGUGUAUCCUGGCCUUUGGAUGGAUGUGGGAGGCUGCAGGCCUGAUUUGACCUCUCAAAGCAUAGAAGGAUGCUCAAGUCAGCAAAACACAAUUGCUUGGCUGCACAUACCUACAUAAAUAUGGGAGGUAGGCGGUGAGGAAACAUUAAGGGGGAUAAGCAGUCUCACAGUGCCUGAGAAAAGGGUGUUUCUAUCCCUGUCCUUGUGUUAGAUCUGGGUGGAGAUAGGAACCUGUAUUCAUAAUGCUGGCCUUCAACAGGCUAAUCCUCUCCACCUUAUAGAGGCAGGGGCUUUCAUGUCCAGUGAGAAGCCUCUAAUAAGACCUUUUGGGGAAGGAUCUCCUCUGAAAAGGCUGCAGGACUUUACCUUCUGAGUCACAAAUCAAUCUCAUUAGGAGCCGGUUGAAGUGUGUUUUGCUGAGCUAUUUGCACUAAUGAGUUUAGUGAAAAUUGUGCAAUACCCCAAAAAUGCAUCCGGACUGGGCCAUCUCCCUAGUGUUAUUUCCCUGGAGCUGCUUUGGGAUUUGGGCUGUGGGAAAGCAAGCUUUUCUCAAGGGAUUUGACUGCAAAGCCAUACUUUAACUUGGCUGAAGGCUGUGCCUCUUCCACUUAGGGUUUUGAGUUUGAUAUGUCAGAGAGCCAUGAGGUGCUAGUGGUGAAAAGUGGGAAUGCUGACUCUUCAUAGGGGUCUGAAAACAGGAUGGGAAGACCCCAUACAGUGGCUUCCAAUGUUGCUGUUGGUGGAGAUCAUGGAUCUGGAUGCUCCUUGUCAUCCUGCAGCCUAUUGUAAUUAAGGAGUUAUGUACGUCCUCAUCACACUGACG
rnacentral:lncRNA from 1 species